rnacentral:ncRNA from 1 species
UACGCGGUAGAUGGAGAACUAUGCUCGAGCAGAAUGAAGCCUGAGGAAACUCUGGUGGAAGUUAUGUAUGUAUGUUGAUGUGCAAAGCACUCUUCUGACUUGAGUGUAGGGGCGAAAGACUAAUCGAACCAUCUAGUUGCUGGUUCCUUCCGAAGUUUCCCUCAGGAUAGCUGGCAUUUGUUUGUAACAAUUUUAUCCGGUAGAGCGAAUGAUUAGAGGUGUUGGGAACGCAAUGUUCUCAGCCUAUUCUCAAACUUCGAAUGGGUAAGCAAGGCGUUUUGCUUUGAUUUUACGAUGAAAUCGCCCAAUUAGAAUGUAUAAAUGCCUAGUGGGCCAAUUUUGGUAAGCAGAACUGGCGAUGUGGAAUGAACCAAAAGUCAGGUUAAGGUGCCAGACAUUGGCGCUCAUGAAAUACCAGAAAAGGUGUUGGUCGAUAUAGACAGCAGGACGGUGGCCAUGGAAGUUGGAAUCCGCCAAGGAGUGUGUAACAACUCACCUGCCGAAUCGACUAGCCCUGAAAAUGGAUAGCGUUUGAGCUCCAGGCCCAUACCUGACCGUCUCAAUUACGCACUUUUUUUUCGGAAAAGGUGUAAUGAACGUUGAGACGGGUAGGAAGGUCGCGACAGUGUUGCUUUGAAGAGUUUUGAGCGUGAGCUCGCUCGGAGCCGCUGUUGGUGCAGAUCUUGGUGGUAGUAGCAAAUAUUCAAGUGAGAACCUUGAAGGCUGAAGUGGAGCAAGGUUCCAUGUGAACAGCAGUUUGGACAUGGGUCAGUCCAUCCCUAAAAAAAAACGGCCGAAAGCUUGUUCCGAAUUUGCGACAUGAAUUGUAAGACUGAAUAAUUUAUUUUGGUGUGUUGU